CAACUUUUAACAAUGGAUCUCUUGGUUCUGGCAUCGAUGAAGAACGCAGCGAAAUGCGAUAAGUAGUGUGAAUUGCAGAAUUCAGUGAAUCAUCGAAUCUUUGAACGCACAUUGCGCCCCUCGGUAUUCCGUGGGGCACGCCUGUUCGAGCGUCAUUU
rnacentral:rRNA from 1 species